CGUUCUCCCGCUCCCGUUAAUACUUCCGGUCUCAUCAUUUUUCCAUCAGUCUCUCAUCGAUCAGUCCGUCUGAGACCCGGCAGCUGAAUUAGAGCCGGUUCAGACCAGUGUCCAGCUGCUCUAAUAAGACUCGCAUGGAAUCCGCUUAAUGGUGCACUUGGGGAAAACUGUGCAUUUUGAAAGGAACUACAGAGGACUACAGACAGACAGACAGCCGAGAAUCACAGAAAACAUGACGUUAAUAAGCAUCAAUUUGCUAAAUGAUGCUUCUUGUUAUAUGAUGCUGUAUGACAGACACACAAAUUCAGAUAUGUAUUGACAAAAAAUUAUGCACAUAUGGCCAACACAUCUGUUUAAUUAAACUGGCGUAAAAAUAAAAUGGUGCAAAACUACAAACUAAAAGGAAAACUGAAUAAUUGAAUAAAAAAAAUUGCCUCUCGCAGCAGAAAUGCAGCACAACGGGGUUAAGGGUCAGAGGUCAAC
rnacentral:lncRNA from 1 species